rnacentral:rRNA from 1 species
GACGAACGCUGGCGGCGUGCUUAACACAUGCAAGUCGAACGGUAUUUAGUAAAAAGUAUCCUCAGUGGAAGAUUACUAAAGAGAUUAGUGAACGGGGGAGUAACUCCUGAGCAACCUGCCUCUGCCAGUGGGAUCGCAUCGUGAAACCGGGUAUAAUACCGCAUCAAAUCGUUGAAACACAAGUUUUACCGGUCAAAGAUUCAGCGGUCAUAGCUGGGCUCACGUCUGAUUAGCUGGUUGGUGAGAUAACCGCCCACCAAGGCGACGAUCAGUAGCUGGUGCGAGAGGAUGAACGGACACACUGGAACUGAGACACGGACCAAACUCCCACGGGAGGAAGCAGGUGGGAAUAAUGCACAAUGGGGGAAUGACUGAGGCAGCCGCGCCGCGUGAACCUAGAAGGUAUUCGUAUCGUAAAGUUCUGUCCAAUGGGAAGAUAAUGACGGUACCAAAGAAGAAAGCGACGGCUAACUACGUG